rnacentral:lncRNA from 1 species
AUGCAGAUAUUUGUUUUGAUAUUCUUUGCUGAUAUGUUCUUUAUUUUGUUUACAUGUCUUCCUGUAAAGCCUGAGUUGUGGCAUAGUGGUUUACUCUUGCCACUGAAUUGUCCUGAAUCCUUCCUGCAGAGAGCAAGGGAUGAAGGAGAGACGAUACACCAGUGUGAGCUUCUGCUGCCUUCAAAAAUCAACAAGAGCCUUCCCAGGGCAAGGCCACAUCUAUCCUUUAAUUCAACUGUACUUCAAGUUGGGGCCCAAACUUACUAGUGAAGUGGAUUAUUUGCUAUAAUAUUCACUCAUGAGACCAACUGAAGCAUCAGAUUGCAAUCCACAGCUCAUCAAUUUUAUAUUGUAAGUAUCUGAAGAACUUGCAAAGUAAUGCUGAGAGUAUAAUUUUGACACUGUUUAUUAACUUUUAUCUAGACCAUCUCUUAUUGUCAUUUCU